GAUGCACUACCUAAAAAAUAAGAACAAACUUGGACGUUUCGAGCGAAAACUCGCCUGGAUGUUUGUAUAGGCACUGGCAUAGUAUAGUUGUUUUUUACAUUCCUUAUAGAUGUCAAGAUUUCACCAAACCUACUACGAUGAAUUCGUUUCCUAUGCACGAGACAAUCUUGGCACCUCAUCAUCUUCACUUGGAAUUUCUGAACGCAGAGCUCCUUUCCGAUUUUGGAUCUCGAAAUUUGAUAGGUGGAACAAUAAAGAAACCCCUUUCACAGAUAUUGACAACCUACGAAAAGCACAUAAUAAGAGGUAUUCCGAAAUUGUACAAUCACUCAAAGAGAACGAGGUGAAAGAGGAUUUGAGAAGUACAGAAGAUGUUGCCAGUUUUGUAUGGGAGGUAAAAUUUAGUAAAACUAUAAAAGUAGACCAAGAUGUGUUCCAAGAAGACCGCUGGUACAAACCUACAUUAGAAAUCGUGCGUAAUAUAUUUGAAACUCUGCAUGAUUUGAUACGCUACUUUAGCUGUCAAUUCGUUUUCAAAUAUCAACAAAUGCGCGCAUUUCAAGGAAAAAUGACAGAAUAUCAUUAUCCUGGCCCUGGAAGGCAUUCAAACAAAGAGUUGAAGAUAUUAAAAAUCUUGGUUCAUUUCCAAGCCGUACCCGCGUACAUAUUCCAAAUAUAAUUUUUGCACUCAAAAUUUAAGACACACGAUUAUAUUUCAAAAUUACCAAACUUGAUGAUGAAACAUUUAGUGGCGAUCUGUUAAUAUUACACAUAUUAAACAGGGCCGUACGCAGGAUUUUUUCACCAGAGGGGGGGGGGGGCAGUACUAAUAUAGGCCUAUAUGCCGAAAAAAGUCCCAAAUACCCAAAGAAGAAUUAAUGUCAUACUAAAAAUCGUAAAUAUAGUUUUCUCUAGGGGGCAGUUGCCCACCGCUGUGUACGCCCCUGAUAUUAAACUGCGCUUUUAUCUUUUACAGAUGAGUAUAGCUCUAGUGUAUGCUGCUGAAGCUUACCAUACAAAAGGGGCCAUGAGGCAUGUAGUUGGUGUGAUGCAACUAAAAAAGGCGGAUAUAAAACAAGGAAUGACUGUGAUGGAUUACUGGGUUUCAAUGAUCGAGAACUGGGCUGAUGCAAAUAAAGGAUUCAGUCAUUGUGGAAAUAAAAAUGCCAAACAAUGCCUGUUGUCCAUGACAAAAUACCUUUACCGUACGUUUGAUGCCCUGAAAAUUAUCCGAAACACUUUGUACUAUUCCCCAGCCCUGAUCAAUAAACUAAAAAUAGCGUUUAAGGGUGAAAAUCCUGUAUACAACCUGCCCAGUUACCCUCAUCUUGAUAAAGCUUGUGAUCCACAGACACUAACCAAAAAUUGGGUGUCCAAUUACAAAAAUAAAGUAGGUGAAAUUCCAGAACCAGAAACAAGGUUGUUCUUAUCUUCUGUUGGUUGUUUAUCGUUAAGUCCACCACAGGCACCAAACACGGCAUUGACAAGACCCUGUAUGGACAAGAUACAAGUUAUUGUCAUGUCAUUUGAUAAUCUCCUGGUAAAGACGACUGCCAAGGACACUACACAAAAUACCGUGAUGUACAAGAAAGACGGAACACUAAAAACCGUGCCACUUCGUUUAAUGCGCAAAGAGUGAGAUCGUGUUUAACUUAAAGCAUGAUUGAAUAGUUGUACUACUACAUACAGUAUUAAGUUAAUCAGCUUAUGCUGAGAUGUUACAUCUUUACUGAUAAUUAAAUUACCAAAAGGUUGUUGCUGUUUUCAGUCCUGGCCGUUUUAUCAUACUACGUCUUGUCUGGACAAAUGAUUGUACUCCAAAGUAUCGACUUUUUCGUUUAUAGGGGUUUGACUGUAUUGAAAAUAGCGUGUUCAACCAGGUUCAAUUGCUAAACUAUUUACUGUAAGGACUGUUAAAAAUGACUAUGGUCAGUUGAGAACUAUAAAAGACAAAAUACAUUUACUGAAAAGGCAUGAUAUUGCAAUAAUUCAUGCAAUUUACGAUAAGAUGGAUUUGUGUUUAACUGACGUAAAUGUCCUAAACUAUAAUUUAAUACCAAAAGGUGACACUGAUAAACCCUGUAAGCUGUGGACACACCGUGCUGAUGUGGUAUUGCAGAGAUGCACAUAUUAUUCAGCUCACUCCACAUCUGGUUUUUCAGUGUGACCGAUCACAUCAAGCAUUACGCGGGCCCAAGAGUUAUACAGGAAGAAUGAGGAUACAUCAGUAUGAGACUCUCACAAGACAUUUAUCAAUUCAAGCAUGUUCUUGCCAUUCAUGGUAUACAGUUAGUUCACAAAGGUUAACUUUAUAGUAAAUUCCAUUACAACAGCUCAGCAUCGCCAGCCCCUCGUAUAUAUAAGACCAUGAAAGCCUUAUGUAUUUUGCCUUAAUUUCCCCAGCCUCUGAAUGGCCGCACUUCUCAUGCUACCUUCGUGUGAUUAAUACCCUGAAUUAAUAAUGCUCUCUACAUUUGGAAUUUAUGCUUUGGAAUUCGAUGCAAAAGCAGCAGUGAUAUAUAAAAUUAUAUAUACUACAACCCCCGCGCCCAAAGUCAAAUAAAAGUAAUCGUAAUCAUCAUCCCGCUUGUCCCCUCAAGGGAAGAGGAGCUAGACUUGACACCCUUGGCCACUCCACAAUAUCCAGUCCACAUCCACCACUUUACCAUCAACCUAACACAUCCAUAUAUGCUCAUUUUCCUCCAGUCUCUUUGCGUGGUCAUACCAUCCCAGUCUACGCUCCCAUACAUUACUUACUCACUCUCUCACUCUCUCACUCACUCACUCACUCACUCACUCUCUCUCUCACUCUCUCACUCACUCUCUCACUCUCUCACUCUCUCACUCUCUC
rnacentral:lncRNA from 1 species